rnacentral:tRNA from 1 species
UGGCACAGUGGUAAAGCAUUUGGCUGCUAACCAAAAGGUCGGCAGUUCGAAUCCACC